CGGGCCGCCGCCUCCGUGGCCUGCAUCUUCGACUUUCGGCCACGGCACAUCCGCUUGUCCGCGACUUGCAGGAGAUCGAGCUGCUCGGCACCAGGGUCCAUCCCGGCGACCACGACACUUGAAAGCAGCGGCAUAAUUACAAAGGUGAAUCCGCUCGCGAGAUUAGGAGGAUGAGCAUGCAGAGACACACAACCCCAUGUCUUCUUCUUCCUUGGCAACGGUGAAGCUCCACGACGGCCAUUGUUGGCAGGAGGAGCACAUCUGUCAGAAGCUCGCUGCGGCGCAAGACUGUCGGCAGGGAGGCGUCGAGCGAGGACAAGCAGGUGGAUGCCUUCGCGAGGUGCUCCUGUUGGCCUUCAUGGGGAGCCGCCGCCGACCUCCCUGACCACCUCCGUGAGAUGCCGGCCGACCACCAUUCUGCUCGCAGCAAGGUUGGCUUGCCUGAUGGUGCGCCGCCUCCGUGGCUUACAAGCAUGUGUUUCUUUUAAAAGAAAUUCUCCAUGCAACCGUUCUUCUGGUUUACUGUUCUUUUUGUUACUGGCAAACUGUAAACUGACAUAAAAAAAUUCUGCGGAGA